AUUGAACGCUGGCGGCAGGCCUAACACAUGCAAGUCGAGCGGAUGAGAAGAGCUUGCUCUUCGAUUCAGCGGCGGACGGGUGAGUAAUGCCUAGGAAUCUGCCUGGUAGUGGGGGACAACGUUUCGAAAGGAACGCUAAUACCGCAUACGUCCUACGGGAGAAAGCAGGGGACCUUCGGGCCUUGCGCUAUCAGAUGAGCCUAGGUCGGAUUAGCUAGUUGGUGAGGUAAUGGCUCACCAAGGCGACGAUCCGUAACUGGUCUGAGAGGAUGAUCAGUCACACUGGAACUGAGACACGGUCCAGACUCCUACGGGAGGCAGCAGUGGGGAAUAUUGGACAAUGGGCGAAAGCCUGAUCCAGCCAUGCCGCGUGUGUGAAGAAGGUCUUCGGAUUGUAAAGCACUUUAAGUUGGGAGGAAGGGCAGUAAGUUAAUACCUUGCUGUUUUGACGUUACCGACAGAAUAAGCACCGGCUAACUCUGUGCCAGCCGCCGCAGUAAUAC
rnacentral:rRNA from 1 species